rnacentral:rRNA from 1 species
CCUACGGGAGGCAGCAGUGGGGAAUAUUGCACAAUGGGCGCAAGCCUGAUGCAGCGACGCCGCGUGGGGGAUGAAGGCCUUCGGGUUGUAAAGCCCUUUUCUGCGUGACGAGGAAGGACGGUAGCGCAGGAAUAAGUCUCGGCUAACUACGUGCCAGCAGCCGCGGUAAUA